CUACAGGGGUAUCUAAUCCUGUUCGCUCCCCACGCUUUCGUCCAUCAGCGUCAAUAUAUGGUUAGUAACCUGCCUUCGCAAUUGGUAUUCCAUGUAAUCUCUAAGCAUUUCACCGCUACACUACAUAUUCUAGUUACUUCACCAUAAUUCAAGCCCUGCAGUAUCAAUGGCAGUUUCCCCGUUGAGCGGGGAGAUUUCACCACUGACUUACAAGGCCGCCUACGGACCCUUUAAACCCAAUGAUUCCGGAUAACGCUUGGAUCCUCCGUAUUACCGCGGCGGCUGGCAC
rnacentral:rRNA from 1 species